AUAUAUAUAUAUAUAUAUAUGUAUGUAUGUAUACAUACACAUAUGAAUUGUAUUCGGUAUACCAGUAAUGUUUGCGUUGAUGUAAUAUUAUUUGUUCAACUUUACGAUUGGUAUCGUCAUCAUCAUCACCACCAUCAUCAUCAUCAUCAUCAUCACCACCAUCAUCAUCAUCAUCAUCCAUCAUCAUCAUCAUCAUCAUCAUCACCGUUAUCGUCCUCAUAAUCCUCAUCAUUUACAUCUGUUUAUCAUCCAUUGUUACAUGGACGGGGGGAGAAUGUUUUUUUUUUCCUUCCUCUUCUGUAUCCGACCUCUUCACCACUUCUCACGUCUUCCUCAGUCUUCCUCCAACACAAGCUCCCUCUGUACAGGGUUGCAUGGCAACUUCUUCACUCGAACUCCCUUCCCGUCAUCCUCCGUGUGCAUCACGUGAUCAUAUCAGUGCAAUCUCUGUUGCACAUUUACAGCGGAUUCUUUUUGUUUUUUGUUUUUUGUUUUUUUUUUACAUCUGUUUUUUUUUCUUCUCUCCUCAAAUCUGCGCUGUCGUUUAAUGCACGCCAGUAUUUACGCAACCCCGCGGAGCAUGCUUAGCUCAACUCUAAUUCAAGCCUUCGCCCCGCACAUCCUCUGCACAAUUAAUGCCAAAUGCGUCCGACUGUGAAACCGUAACAUGCAUGGAAACAUAGAAAACACCAAAAAAGAAAAGAACAAAAGAAAAAGAAAAAGAA